rnacentral:rRNA from 1 species
UAGGGAAUCUUCGGCAAUGGGGGGAACCCUGACCGAGCAACGCCGCGUGAGUGAAGAAGGUUUUCGGAUCGUAAAGCUCUGUUGUUAAGGAAGAACGAGUGUGAGAAUGGAAAGUUCAUACUGUGACGGUACUUAACCAGAAAGGGACGGCUAACUACGUGCCAGCAGCCGCGGUAAUACGUAGGUCCCGAGCGUUGUCCGGAUUUAUUGGGCGUAAAGCGAGCGCAGGCGGUUAGAUAAGUCUGAAGUUAAAGGCAGUGGCUCAACCAUUGUCGGCUUUGGAAACUGUUUAACUUGAGUGCAGAAGGGGAGAGUGGAAUUCCAUGUGUAGCGGUGAAAUGCGUAGAUAUAUGGAGGAACCCCGGUGGCGAAAGCGGCUCUCUGGUCUGUAACUGACGCUGAGGCUCGAAAGCGUGGGGAGCGAACAGG